rnacentral:rRNA from 1 species
UACGUAGGGCGCAAGCGUUAUCCGGAAUUAUUGGGCGUAAAGAGCUCGUAGGCGGUUUGUCGCGUCUGCCGUGAAAGUCCGGGGCUCAACUCCGGAUCUGCGGUGGGUACGGGCAGACUAGAGUGAUGUAGGGGAGACUGGAAUUCCUGGUGUAGCGGUGAAUGCGCAGAUAUCAGGAGGAACACCGAUGGCGAAGGCAGGUCUCUGGGCAUUAACUGACGCUGAGGAGCGAAAGCAUGGGGAGCGAACAGG